UAGAACAAGGUGUAAUGGGUAGCACGGAGAAAUUUGGGUUCUCAGGAGUAGGUUCGAUACCUAUGGUUCUAG
rnacentral:tRNA from 1 species